AGUACUUAUUUAAAAAAAAAAAAAAAUUUUAAACAGUUUAAAUGUUUUCACUCUUCUCACUUUUCAUCAUAAAUGUAUCAUUGUUUCCACAAAAAUGUUAAGUAGCAAAACAUGUUUUUAACAUUCAUAAUAAUAAAUAGUAAAUGUUUCCUGGGCAGUAAAUCAGCAUAUUAAAAUUAUUUCUGAAGGAUCAUGUGAAACUGAAAAUUAUCUUUGUAAAAAACAACAGAUAUAAACUAAUCCAAGAUGCAAAUAAGGUAUUAGUUAACCGACACUGAAAACAAAGUUACCUAAUAUAGCAGACAUGUAGCGGUUAUAUAGCCUUUAUUUGUAUAAUUACAUAACAACCGUUUUGUAUGUUAUUACAGUUGUAAACAAUCUCACAUUGUCACCAUCAUUCAUAAAAGGUUAGGAUGACUACACAGUUCAGUGCCUUUUCUACUCAUUUGGCGCUUUGAAGUACUUAAAGCUGCAGAUGUGCAGCAUUCUCGGGAACAUUCCGUCCAUGAUGGUUUAGAAAAUAUAACCUUUACGCAGUUUAUUCAGUUUAUAGGCCAUUUCAGAAUAAUAUAAGCAUAUAGACAAGUAACAGUAGUCUUAAUCAUUCAGUCAGUACUAAAGCAAACAUAUUGUAUUUUUGUGUUUUAUAAUUUAUAUAUAAGGCAACAAUUAAUUUGAUAUUAAGUACAAUGUGUCUCUAAAAACUAAAUAAAUGAAUAAAUGCAUGUACAUUGCAAGUAGACUGCCAUUUUAUGUUUUAAAGUGAAAUGAUGUAAUGAUAUGAAGUUUCAGAUAUAAAACACCUGUAUCUGGACCAUCUCAAUUGCUUUUCUCAAAGAUAUUGUUACAUCCAGGCCAGCAAGGAAGCAAAGAUUUGUUAAACAGUCCUUUUAUUAUUCCAAUUCAAAAGAUUAUUCAAAGCACAGACAAUACAAACAAAAAACAAACAAACAAAAAAUAGCUCAGGAAAGUUUUAGGAAAUAUAUAAUACAUACAUAUAAAUGACAAUAAAUUCAAUAAACACAGGUUAACAUAAUAUGCAACUGAUUAAAACAAAUGAGAACACAGUGAAAAUGUAUAUUGGCACCUCAGAAAACAAAAAUUAAAUAUAAGUAUAAUCUCCUAGAGCAGAAAAAAGAACAUGAAAGUACCUGCCCUUCCAAAAGGCAACUUUUGACACUUAAACAGCCAGUGUGAUGGUGGGGGUAAGAGACUACAGUGGAGCUGGCAGAAAAAGAGACUACUGCACAACUGGUGAAGGAAGAGGUCAAGGGUGUGCAGUGGAAGAAGAGACCACUGUAUAAGUAAUGGAGGGUGCCAUGGCAGAAAUGGCAUAGUGUGAUGCCUUGAUGGAACCGGAGCAAUGGAGACCCAUUGUCGAUCCUCGGGCUGUGCAGACCAGACAGAAGGCCAAGGCAGAGUCAGGAAGGCUUGAUACCAGGAUGGAUGGAACCAGAGGACUGGACAACCAGGGUAAUACUGCAGGGCUUGAGGGACCAGGUGGAUGUAUAAGAUCUGCAGACCGAGGAAGAUCCAGUGAGAAAUAAUGUACAUGCGAAAAACAUAUGUAAAACAAUAUUUAUAAAUAAUAAUUAUACUCACAUCAUGUAUCUGUAAAGAUGUCUUGUUUAGCAAAACUGGGUGGGAGGGAUGCUACAAAGAUAGAGAGACACUGUGGAGCUAUGGAUGAGGCAAACCAGGACAGAGUUGGGUAGAUGGAAGACCAAGGUGAAAUCAGGAAACCUGGAGACCAAGAUGAUGCCAAACUGCUGGAGAACCAGUAUAAUGUCACUGGACUGCAGGGCCAAGGUGAAGACAGAAGAUCGGCAGACUGAGGUGGUGUCGUUGGGAAUGAUGAAGAUCACAGAGCUAGAGGAAAUAAGGUUUAGGCAUACUUGUUUUGAAUUAGAAGAUAACAGAUGAUGUGUACUGUGCUCGUACUCCUACAAAACAUUAAAAAAAGCAUAGUUGUUUAUUGUAAUUUUAUGCAAUGUUUAAGCAGAUUGACAAAUAAUAUACAUAUCAAAACAUAUGCAAAACAGCAUUUAUAUAGAGCAAAUAAGCUUACAUGAAGUCUCUGUGAAGAUAUUUUUGUUGAGUAAGAAUGGCAGAGAAGAAUGUCUAGAUGGAACUAGACAGUUGGAGAUCCACGUUUGAUCCAAGGAGAAGACCAAGUUAAAGCCAGUAAUGCUGGAGAUCAAGAUGGAGCAAGUGUAGAUGGAAGAUCUGUGAAUAAGAUGGAGCCAGUAGGAGUGACGAAGAUGGUGGAGGUGGAUGUAGGACCCCAGGGUAGCUGAAGGAUUGGAAGCAAGAAUAAGAAAGUGGGAUACCUUGAUGGAGCCAGAUGGAUGUAGUGCCAUUGUGUAGCCAGGAGACACAAGACUAAUGAACAGUAAUGAAGCUUGUACAUUAAUAUGGAGCUAGAAUGCUGGAAAACAAAGGUUAUGCUGCUGAACCAGAAGUCUGGAAGUCUGUUGCGGAGCCAGGGAGAUGACAGAUCAGGGUGCAGUCAGAAGGAUCAGGGACUCCGUUGGAGCAGUGACAUGACAGGGCAUGGCAGAGGCAUUGAAACCAGAAGCCAAGGUUCUCAAUGGCAACAGAAAUUAAAUCAACAUGAAACAAAACUAAACAGCUUUGCAAACUGAGACAAACAAUAUCAAUGAACUGAAGAGUUAAAAUACACAGAGAUAAAAAUGAACUAGAUUAAACACAAGUGAACAUAAUUGCUAACCAAGGCAAUUAUGACAAUAUACCAGAAACUUGCAACUCAGGAGAAAAUAACUAAACACAGAAACCAUAAAUGCAGUAAAAAUUUAACAAAAUGAACAACAAAAUAGGAUUCCCAAAAACAGAACAGAACAUGAGAAAUCAAAGAAUAAUGGUCAUACCUAAUGGGUUUGUUGACCUGGCUUAAGCUUGAACCAGCAAGUUUCGAGUUAUACGCUUGAGGUUUGACUAUUAUGCAAAACCACACCAAUGGGAAUUGCCACUACGUAGUUAAGUGCAUUUGUUGAUAUAAGUAACAAAUAUAUCACUUGUAAAUGCAGUAUAAUUUUGUUUACAUUGCAGUUACAACUAUACUUACAAAGUAUUUUUACUUUUUACUUCAUAAAAAAAUGUAUUUAAUAUACAUUGUAUCCACAUUGAAAUACAAACUGUAAUAAUAAUGGGUUCUUUUUGGUAUUACUGUCCUGUUCUUAACAGUUUCUGCCAUGAAUGAGCUCAAGGAAGUACGCUUGUAGUCAUGAUUAUAUAACACGUCCAUCAUCCUGUAUUAUUUUGUAAUGUCCUCAACAGACUUUCUACAACAUAAAAAAAAAAUCUUAUCAAUUGUUUUAACAUAAUUAAUAAUGAAUAACAUGAAAAUAAAAUAUGAAAAACAGCAUUAAUGAAAAAACUGUAAGUACUCACAUCAAGUCUCUGUUUAGUAGCAUGAUUUUAGUGAAAUCCACUCUUUGUUCAUUUUGUUGUUCAGUGCAAGACAUGGAGGAUGUUUUUUUUGUGUGUGUAGAUAAUCAGAUGCAUUGCUCUAGAUGAGUUGUAGUGUCCUCAUUGUUGUAGUGUCCUCGUAGUCCUACAAAACAAUAAAACAACAUUUCGUUGUUUAAUGUAGUUUAUGCAAUAUUAAGAACACUAAGACUUUCCCCCUGUGUUGUUGCAUACCAGAUGGUAAGACAUGAAAUGUUCUUUUUUUCUGGAACAGGAGAAGGUCACUUCUUUUUAACCAGGUGAAGGAUGAUAUGCUAAUAUUUUAGUUCAGUUGUCCAUAAUCUCCAGUUUGUUUGUGGCUUGAGAAAGAUUUCUAGCUUGCUGGAUGCCAUUCUAAAUAUCUGUUCAGAACUGGUCCACAAAAAAAAAAAAAAAUAAUAAUAAUAAUAAUAAUAAUAA